rnacentral:rRNA from 1 species
CUCGUAGCUUGCUAUGAGAACAAUUAGUGGCAGACGGGUGAGUAAUGCAUAGGAAUCUACCUAGUAGUAUAGGAUAGCCACUAGAAGUGGUGGGUAAUACUGUAUAAUCCCUGCGGGGGAAAGAUUUAUCGCUACAUGAUGAGCCUAUGUUAGAUUAGCUAGUUGGUGGGGUAAUGGCCUACCAAGGCAGUGAUCUAUAGCUGGUCUGAGAGGACGAUCAGCCACACUGGAACUGAGACACGGUCCAGACUCCUACGGGAGGCAGCAGUGGGGAAUAUUGGACAAUGGGCGCAAGCCUGAUCCAGCUAUGCCGCGUGAGUGAGGAAGGCCUUAGGGUUGUAAAACUCUUUCAGUGGGGAAGAUAAUGACGGUACCCACAGAAGAAGUCCCGGCAAACUCCGUGCCAGCAGCCGCGGUAAUACGGAGGGGGCAAGCGUUGUUCGGAAUUAUUGGGCGUAAAGGGCAUGUAGGUGGUUUGGUAAGUUAAAGGUGAAAUGCCAGGGCUUAACCCUGGAGCUGCUUUUAAUACCGCCAGACUGGAGUCCGGGAGA